rnacentral:rRNA from 1 species
GCCUCAAGUGAUGAUUAUUGGAGGUAGAGCACUGUUUGGACGAGGGGCCCCUCUCGGGUUACCGAAUUCAGACAAACUCCGAAUGCCAAUUAAUUUAACUUGGGAGUCAGAACAUGGGUGAUAAGGUCCGUGUUCGAAAGGGAAACAGCCCAGACCACCAGCUAAGGUCCCAAAAUAUAUGUUAAGUGGAAAAGGAUGUGGCGUUGCCCAGACAACUAGGAUGUUGGCUUAGAAGCAGCCAUCAUUUAAAGAGUGCGUAAUAGCUCACUAGUCGAGUGACACUGCGCCGAAAAUGUACCGGGGCUAAACAUAUUACCGAAGCUGUGGAUUGUCCUUUGGACAAUGGUAGGAGAGCGUUCUAAGGG